rnacentral:sRNA from 1 species
UAGGUGCUCAGGUUCAGGGCUUCGACGGGGAUGGUUUUGGAACUCGGGAGCCCUGAGCUUCCCCCUCCUCUGUCCCCUAGGACAUCCUGAACCACGUGUUCGACGACGUAGAGAGCUUUGUAUCGAGGCUGCAGAAGUCGGCGGAGGCGGCCAGGGUGCUGGAGCACAGGGAACGCGGCCGCAGGACCCGGCGCCGGGCGGCUGGGGAGGGCCUGCUGACGCUGCGGGCCAAGCCGCCCUCGGAGGCCGAGUACACCGACGUGCUGCAGAAGAUCAAGUACGCCUUCAGCCUGCUGGUGAGGACGCGUCCGCCCCUGGGCCGGGGCGCGGGCACGGCGAACUUGCCCCGUCCCCGCACCCACGCCAACCACCUCCCUCCCCACGCCCCAGGCCCGGCUGCGCGGCAACAUCGCCGACCCCUCCUCUCCGGAGCUGUUGCACUUCCUUUUCGGGCCUCUGCAGAUGAUUGUGAACACGUCGGGGGGGCCGGAGUUCGCGAGCAGUGUUAGGCGGCCGCACCUGACGUCGGAUGCCGUGGCGCUGCUGCGGGACAACGUCACUCCACGUGAAAACGAGCUCUGGACCUCGUUGGGGGACUCGUGGACCCGCCCCGGGCUGGAGCUGCCCCCGGAAGAGGGACCCCCAUACAGACCCGAGUUCUUCAGCGGCUGGGAGCCGCCGGUCACUGACCCGCAGAGCCGCGCCUGGGAGGACCCAGUUGAGAAACAGCUACAGCACGAGCGGAGGCGCUGGCAGGUGACCCAAGCGACACAGCAGGGCCGAGGCUGGGAAGUCCGGGGGCGCGGCCGGUCCGCCUGGCCCCGCCUGACCCGACUCUCUUACUUCCUACAGCAAAGCGCCCCCCAGGUCGCUGUCAAUGGUCACCAAGACUUGGAGCCAGAAUCUGAGCCUCAGCUGGAGUCAGAGACAGCAGGAAAAUGGGUCCUGUGUAAUUAUGACUUCCAGGCCCGCAACAGCAGUGAGCUGUCGGUCAAGCAGCGGGACGUACUGGAGGUCCUGGAUGACAGUCGUAAGUGGUGGAAGGUUCGGGACCCAGCGGGGCAGGAGGGAUAUGUGCCCUACAACAUCCUGACACCCCACCCCGGACCCCGGCUGCACCACAGCCAAAGCCCUGCCCGCAGCCUGAACAGCACUCCUCCUCCGCCACCAGCCCCAGCCCCGGCCCCACCUCCAGCUCCGGCUCGGCCCCGCUGGGACAGCUGCGAUAGCCUCAACGGCUUGGACCCCAGCGAGAAGGAGAAAUUCUCCCAGAUGCUCAUCGUCAACGAGGAACUGCAGGCGCGCCUGGCCCAGGGCCGCUCGGGUCCGAGCCGCACAGUCCCAGGGCUCCGCGCCCCGGAACCGCAGCUCAGCCCGGGCUCGGACGCCUCCGAGGUCCGCGCCUGGCUGCAGGCCAAGGGCUUUAGCUCCGGGACCGUGGACGCGCUGGGUGUGCUGACCGGGGCGCAGCUUUUCUCGCUGCAGAAGGAGGAGCUGCGGGCGGUGAGCCCCGAGGAGGGGGCACGUGUGUACAGCCAGGUCACCGUGCAGCGCGCGCUGCUGGAGGACAAAGAGAAAGUGUCAGAGCUGGAGGCAGUGAUGGAGAAGCAAAAGAAGAAGGUGGAAGGCGAGGUGGAAAUGGAGGUCAUUUGACCUGCCAGGCGCCCUUCGCAGAGUGACGAGGCCCCGUGGGAGAACGGACUCUUCAGACUCUCCCCAAUAGCGGAAGUCGAUCUUCUGAAGGAUGGCCAAUCUGCUCCGGCCCUGGUCUUCCCCCAUCCCGGUGGACAGACUUAACGAUCCUUGCUGCAGUCCCUCCGGAGAGGAUCUGGACUGGCUGGGAGUGGGGAGGGCGUGGAGACAGUCUACGGAAAGCGCUAGCAGACCCCCGAGAGGGUGCAGUGGAGCCCUGAGCAUUGUAAUAUGCCGCCCAGCCUAUAAACAGCCUCCUUGCUGAGC